rnacentral:rRNA from 1 species
UACGGAGGGUGCAAGCGUUAUCCGGAUUUACUGGGUUUAAAGGGUGCGCAGGCGGAUAUGUAAGUCAGUGGUGAAAUCUCUGGGCUUAACCCGGAAAUUGCCAUUGAUACUAUAUGUCUUGAAUGCUGUGGAGGUAAGCGGAAUAUGUCAUGUAGCGGUGAAAUGCUUAGAGAUGACAUAGAACACCUAUUGCGAAGGCAGCUUACUACGCAGAUAUUGACGCUCAUGCACGAAAGCGUGGGGAUCAAACAGGAUUAGAACCUCGAGUCA